rnacentral:lncRNA from 1 species
GUUUUUUUCUAUUCUACUCAGAUCCUUCUCUGGCCUGGUGUCUUCCUGGUAAAAUGUCUAAAAAAUUAUUUCUGUACAUGAACUGAGAAUUUUAUUCAAUGCUUAGCAUUGCUGCCAGAGCAUAAGCAGAGGAGAUGAUGAGAGAAUGCCGAGAAGACACUGUUUUUCAACAGAACUGAGGAAGAGGUGAGAAGGGAUGCUGAGAUAGCCUCAAGCUUGCUUUUUUUUUUUUUUUCUUUAUCAGAACACUCUUCCGGAUUGGAAUAUGAGUGUCUUGGGGGUCGGGUUGGAGAGGGAAAGCAUGAACCUCUGAGGCUGCCUUUACUACCUGCUAUCUGUGGCAUGGAAUCUGCAGAGAUGGCUAGGAAUGUAUUAGGGCAAAUGUGUAGUUUUAUAUACAUGAAAAGUAUCAGCUGGUGAUUACCUGCAUCUUUCAAGUCAGCCACUUGCUGAAAUUCCAUAGAGGAUUGUACCAUUGCACCAACGUAGAGGAAAUUCCUUGUCUGCCUUUUCUUCAGGUAUGUAAAUAUUCUAGUUCAAGGCCUGGUACUUUAAAAUUUCUAGCAAUUGUUCCAAAAGAUGCAAACUGCUUUUAAAUUGCUUCAAUGGUUUAUGCACUCUCUAA